UGCUGUUCUAUAUCGGGUCCUCCAUGCUGUUCUUAUGCUUCAGAGGAUAUGUGAACACUCUACUGCUUUGUCCACUGAGCUCACCUCUGCCUCUACCCCUGAUCCUUCUGCGCUCAUAGUCACAUGUGAACCUUGGUGUGCGAGGGCUGGCAUGCGACCAAGAUGGAGCAUACAUGCUGACCAAAGUGACAUCAAGCCUAAAAUAAAGCUGGGAGUUGGAGGAGGAAGAUGAUGGGAAGUGGAGAUUGUUGGCAUGAAGUUCUCUCUAUGGCUGCGAGGCUGGGAACAGAAGGACACCAGAGCACCCUGACGUUGCUUCUGUGCCCUCACUACUCAGCCGUCCUAACAUCUCAUUCUGCAGCCCCGCCUGUGCAUUCUCUUCAAGGAGGAUCUCAACUCUAUCAGCAGACAUGCCCUCCAUCUGCACUUUCCAGCGAUUUCCUGCCAGCUGACUACUUCCUCCCCAGCUCACUCCCCACCCUGUUCAUCAUACUUUGUACAUUUAUCACUGUACUCCCCUUGUGGCACCACCCCCCAGGGCCAGGAUGACCAUGUCCCUUGGCAUAGAA